rnacentral:rRNA from 1 species
AUCCGGAGGAUGCGAGCGUUAUCCGGAUUUAUUGGGUUUAAAGGGAGCGUAGGUGGGAUAUUAAGUCAGCUGUGAAAGUUUGGGGCUCAACCUUAAAAUUGCAGUUGAUACUGGUUUCCUUGAGUACGGUACAGGUGGGCGGAAUUCGUGGUGUAGCGGUGGAAUGCUUAGAUAUCACGAAGAACUCCGAUCGCGAAGGCAGCUCACCGGGCCGGAACUGACACUGAUGCUCGAAAGUGCGGGUAUCAAACAGGAUUAGAUACCCUGGUAGUCCGCACAGUAAACGAUGAAUACUCGCUGUUUGCGAUACACGGUAAGCGGCCAAGCGAAAGCGUUAAGUAUUCCACCUGGGGAGUACGCCGGCAACGGUGAAACUCAAAUGAAUUGGCGGGG